rnacentral:rRNA from 1 species
AGUGGUGAACAGGUGAGUAGUAAUUAAUAACCUACCUUAAGGCAGGGGUAAAUCCCCUUUAUAUAGAAAGGUAAUUACCGUCUUAAGAAGAAUCGUUAAUUUAAAGAAAUAGGUAGUUGUUAAGGUAAUUACUUAACAAGCCAAUUAUUUUCUUAGUCGUAACUGAAAGGUUGAUCGAUCACAUUGGGAAUGAGAAAAGCCCAAGACAAAUGAGUACAGCAGUGGGGAAUAUUAGUCAAUGGCCUAACGGCUGAACCGGCAACUUGGAGGAAUGGCCUAAAUUAAAGUGAAAUUGGUUAAAUUUUUCUUUUAAAAAUAAAAUUCUGAUUGUAUAUAAUAUAAUGACUAUAUAUUUUUAUGUCUUGACUAAUUACGUGCCAGCAGUCGCGGUAAUACGUAAGAGACUAGUGUUAUUCAUCUUUAAUAGGUUUAAAGGGUACUCAAACGGAAGAAAUUAACUAAAUAAGGUACUAUUUCUAUCUAGAGUUAUAUAAAAAAAGGUCGAACAUUUGGAGUAGGUAUGAAAACCUUUAAAUACCUAUCUUGACGGGUAAGGCGAAGGCAACCUUUUUAUAAAAUAACUGACGUUGAAGGACGAAGGCUAAGGAAGCGAAAAGGAUUAGAUACCCUUGUAGUCUUAGCAGAAAAUUAUGAAUGCUACUUAUUAAAAUUAUUUAAUUCGUAAAUGAAAAUUUAAGCAUUUCACCUCACGAGUAAUGUGGCAACGCAGGAACUGAAAUCACUAGACCGUUUUAGACACCAGUAGUGAAGUAUGUUAUUUAAUUCGACAAUCCGCGAAAAACCUUACCACAAUCUGAAUUAUUUGUAUAUUCUGUUUUACACAAAUAUAAAUAACGAGUGUUGCACGGCUGUCUUCAGUUGAUGUUGCGAAACUAUGGCUUAAGCCAUGAAAUUGACCAAAACCUUUACUUUAUUUAUUAAUAUAUAUUUUAUAAAGUAUUUCAUCUUGACAAUAGAUGUUACGUUAGGGACCAAGAUAAGUCAUCAUGACCUCUAUAUUGUGGGCUAUAGACGUGCCACAUUUUCCUAGACAAAAAGAUGCAAAAAUGCAAAUUUAAGCUAAUCUAAAAAAUAGGAUAAAAAAGGAUAUGGAUUAUAGUCUGAAAUUCGACUAUAUGAAUAAGUAAUUACUAGUAAUCGUGAAUCACCAUCGUCACGGUGAAUUUUCUAUCUCAUUGGUACUAACUACUCGUCGCAUGCUGAAAAGUGUACUUACAAAAAGUUUGCUUGUUUAUUAUAAGUAAGUAAAUAAUAGGUUUUAGAUGUUAUAAUAGAUUUCUUCGUAUGUGUGUAUCUGAUUAGUGUUAAGUCGAAAUAC